ensembl:rRNA 5S_rRNA 5S ribosomal RNA
UGCCUCAUUCCUUUCAGGGCCUGGUUAGCACUUGGGUGGGAGACCAUCUGGGAAUACCGGGUGCUGUAGGCAU